CCUACGGGAGGCAGCAGUGGGGAAUAUUGCACAAUGGGCGCAAGCCUGAUGCAGCGACGCCGCGUGGGGGAUGACGGCCUUCGGGUUGUAAACUCCUUUCGCUAGGGACGAAGCUUUUUGUGACGGUACCUAGAUAAGAAGCACCGGCCAACUACGUGCCAGCAGCCGCGGUAAU
rnacentral:rRNA from 1 species